CUACGGGAGGCAGCAGUGGGGAAUAUUGCACAAUGGGCGCAAGCCUGAUGCAGCAACGCCGCGUGAACGAUGAAGGCCUUCGGGUUGUAAAGUUCUUUUCUUAGGGAAGAAUAAAUGACGGUACCUAAGGAAUCAGCCCCGGCUAACUACGUGCCAGCAGCCGCGGUAAUACGUAGGGGGCAAGCGUUAUCCGGAAUCACUGGGCGUAAAGGGAGUGUAGGCGGUCAAGCAAGUCAGGGGUGAAAGGCAUCGGCUCAACCGAGGUAAGCCUUUGAAACUGUUUGACUUGAGUGCAGGAGAGGUAAGUGGAAUUCCUAGUGUAGCGGUGAAAUGCGUAGAUAUUAGGAGGAACACCAGUGGCGAAGGCGACUUACUGGACUGUAACUGACGCUGAGGCUCGAAAGCGUGGGGAGCGAACAGGAUUAGAUACCCCCGUAGUC
rnacentral:rRNA from 1 species